CUAAUACUCCCUCCGUUCCAAAUUAGUUGACUUGAAUUUGUCUAAAUACAGAUGUAUCUAUACUUGUUUAGUGUCUAGAUACAUUCAUGUCUAGAUAAAUAUGGGUCAAGUAAUUUGGAAUGGAGGGAGUAACAC
rnacentral:pre_miRNA from 1 species